UGCCCCUGUCCAGGAUUGACUGUUCAACUGUUCCUUUGACUCUGUGAAUGAUUCCAGCUUCCUUCCAGAAUCUUCUCCGUUCUCCAGAGUUGACUAGUCAGCUUCAGGUAGAGGAACCGGGUGACUGGGUGACGAGUUGUUUUCUGCACAUCCUUUUAUCCAUUUUGAAUUUUGCAUGUAUUAAGAUUUCUUUGAAGACAGUAAUAUUGUGCCGCUGUCCAGAGCACACCUGAUGGACAGGGAGUCGCCUUUCCCCGGUCAGAUGCUACUAUCACUUACCUGAGGGUGGUGGGCCUCAGCCCAACAGGUGAAGGCUUCCAUAGAAAAAGACAGACCACCCCCAAGGCAGAGGAAAACCAGCCAGAAGAUUCUUGGGUCUCCAGCCUGCUGGCCUACCCUGCAGAUCCUGGACACACCAGCCUCUACAACCACUGAAGCCAGUUCCUUAAAACCAGUCUGUCUGUGUCUCUCCACAUGUGGGCACAUACACACACCCUAUGGGUUCUCUGGAGAACCCUAAUGCUCUAAGAGGGUUCUCACACACAGAGUCCAGUGACAGGGCCUUCAAGGAGGAGCUCCCCGGACCUUCCCCUCCCCAGCACAGAGGCAACAGCCUGUGAAUACUUGUUGAGAACAAUGAAACCUCUUCCUGCUCAGGAGCAGGUCCUGUGGACUGAUAUAUUUAUUCCCUGACCAUAGCCCCUCAUCAUGAGGUUUCUUUACACUUAGUACCUCUGCCCUGAUGCUCCUUUUCAAGGUAAAGAAGGAAUAGUUAAGAAAGGAUUUAAAAAAAGAGAGGAAACAAGACAAGCUACACCCAGAUGUGUGGCAAAUCAUUAAUGCCAUUUUCAGCGCUGGUCCGUGGAUAUCAGCACGGGCCUGUAGGCCAUGCUGGACCUUUCCUCUCCAUCCCUGGCUGGGGCAGCUCUGGGGCUCACUCACCAGUAAUGGACUCCGUGGGGAUGGCUCUUUCCUCCAAGCUCCGCUGAUUCCGGACACACAGGGCUUCCUCUCGCUUCACCUGAGAGGACGAAUCCUGUGCAGGCACCAGGGGCUCUGCUUCUGGGGAGAGAGAAGUAUGGCCAUUUGGUGUUUUUUUCUGAACAAUCAAUCAUCACCCAGAUGUUCUUUGGGUGAUGAAUGCAGCUGACAGCACCUGUUAGCACAGGGGCCUCGGGUUCUUGGCAGGGGGUCACCCCUAAGAGGCAGAAGGUCCUGGGAGCAGAGAUAUAAUCAGAAUUCAGGACAAAGGGGUAACUCAAGCUGCAGGAUGAAGUGUAAUAAGGCUGGGAGAGAGCUCCAGAAACUGCCCCACCUGGGUUUGGGGCUAAUCAGGACUAUGCCAGAAGUUUGAUCUCUGUGUACAAAACGUUCAUUUUCAUUUUUCACCCCAGUCAGAAAGAAAUACACACAUACAGAGAUC